UGGAUGAGUUAACAGGGAGGAAAACGGGGCCCGGAAAAACCUGUUUAGGCUACCCCGUUUUGACGAGGAAAUGUUUAUUUUCUAAACACUUUUUCUUUUCUAUUUCUUUUUCUUUCUCUUUUUCCUCGCCGUUGCUUCCUCCUCCGCGUGCCCAACUUCACCCGACGGCGUCUUCUCUUUGUCCUAACCGCCCUAACCGGCUUCCCCCUCAUUCCACUUCAUCUCCUUCUCCUUCCCUUCCUGCGACGCCGACGCCACAUCUCUUCCUUCUUCCUCCCCGAGCCCUAAAUUCCCCUUUUUCUCAACCACUUCGCCGAGCGACAGUGUUGAUCGCGGCUAUUGCCGAGCCCCCAUCGCCGCUGUGCCCUCUUGCGCCGCUGCCCCUCUCGGUCGGAGGCCACCUCCAAGCCGCGGCCUGGGUCAUCAAUCAGCCCCUCUUACUGCGCUGUGCCCUAGAUCUUUGCCGUCGGCCACCGCGAGCCCUAGCUGGCCAUCGGCGCCCGUCGUCCCUUUGCCGUGGAGAUCCUCACAGCCACCACCCCUCUCCGAUCUCCUCUGUUCCAGCCACCAGGUUCGACCCAGCGCUGGCUGCCGGCUGAUUUUCUGUGCCCUAGGCGCUGCUGUGAGGUUUGAGCCGACCAACAGAUUCACUGCCGCCACCGUCGGCCAAAUUCCCUCUCCUGUGCAGCUGAUCUAGAGCAACUACUGCCGUGCUUCUACUUUGUGUGUCGCCGGGAGUCGAGAGCUCGAGAAGGCGACAGAGGGCAGCAGUGAUUCGGCAGUGGGAUUUAAGAUUCAUUUCGCUGGUAGUGUAUCGGGGUUCCACAGCAGCUGUGAUUUUUCCGGCCAUAAUUUUCAGCAACAUCCUUGCUGUGAGAAGUGAGGUAAGGAAUAGGGUUUUGAUUAUGUUGUUGACGAUCGAUAGAUAGGUUAAUAACUAACGUUAACCUAGGUACAUGUGUUAAUUAGGGUUUGGUCCUAAUUUAGUGUCAGGGACUUUUAUUUAGCUAUUUAUAGGAAUUAGUUAAAUAAAAUAUAUAUAUAUUGCUGACACAGGACUUGACGCGAGACGAGUAUCUCAGAGUCAGAUUUGGAUCAUUUUAUCGGAGUUAAUGAUCUUCAAGCCAACACAGAGUAUACUGGAUAUUCAGCUGCUUCUACUGUAAUUCAGUGGUUUUGGGAAGUUGUUAAAUCAUUUAACAAGGAGGAUAUGGCGAGAUUACUAUAACUUGUUACUGGAACAUCAAAGGUUCCCCUGGAGGGGUUUAAAGCAUUACAGGGUAUAUCUGGUCCCCAGCAGUUUCAGAUUCACAAGGCAUAUGGUGCUCUUGAAAGGCUGCCCUUUGCACAUACCUGUUUUAACCAACUAGAUCUACCAGAAUACUCUUCCAGGGAACAAUUAGAAGAAAGGUUGCUGCUUGCUAUCCAUGAAGCUAGUGAAGGCUUUGGUUUUGGUUAGACCUUGUGGCAGUUGAUAACAUAUGACUAUUUUCUCUCUGCCAUGUAUAGAUAAAGGAAAGGAAGAGUUAUAGCGAAGGAAGGCGAUAAGGAGAUUGAUAUGUGAUCCUGUCUGAGAAGCUGGACAAGAUGGAGAGCCGGGAGAAGAAACCUACUGCUGAUGGAGAAUAGUGCUGCUAGCGAAGAAUAACGUCUAGAGAAUACUGAUCCGAGAAACCCAAAGCGGAUCGAGAAGAAUAGAGUCACCAAAUGCCUCCUUCCUACAAAGAUCCCAUGCCGAGAAAGAAAUCCAAUUGAAGAACAACCCCGCUCCAGAGCUCCCAGGACCUCCUGCGCACAAGAGAUCAGCCAACACUAUCGUCAGUGACCUAAGACCGGGGUGAGAAUUCCUGGCUAGGCCCUCCGACGCUCAAGUCAGUGAUCUCCCUUAGUGUGG